AUACUUACCUGGCAGGGGCAGUACCAUGGUCAGAUAAGUGUUUUUCCCAGGGUGAGGCUGAUCCAUUCCACUCUGGUUGUGCUGGUCCCUGCCAUUUCCACAAAUGGAGGACACACAACUACAUAAUUUGUGGUAAUGGGGGACAGCAUUCACUCUGUCCUCUG